CCUACGGGGGGCAGCAGUCGGGAAUAUUGGGCAAUGGAGGCAACUCUGACCCAGCAACGCCGCGUGAAGGAUGAAGGCCCUCGGGUCGUAAACUUCUGUCGAGAGGGAAGAAACGCGUAAGGUUAAUAUCCUUGCGUCUGACGGUACCUCCAAAGGAAGCACCGGCUAACUCCGUGCCAGCAGCCGCGGUAAUACGGAGGGUGCAAGCGUUGUUCGGAUUUAUUGGGCGUAAAGCGAGUGUAGGCGGUUUGUCAAGUCGGGUGUGAAAUCCCAGGGCCCAACCCUGGAACUGCACCCGAUACUGGCAGGCUAGAGUCCCGGAGAGGAUGGCGGAAUUCCCGGUGUAGGGGUGAAAUGCGUAGAUAUGUGGAGGAAUACCAGUGGCGAAGGCGGCCUCCUGGCUCGACACUGACACUGAGGUGCGAAAGCGUGGGGAGCAA
rnacentral:rRNA from 1 species